GCGCUGGAAUCAAAAGUAGAAAAGAAAAUUAACACAUUUUUGACAAAUUAGCAGCAGGGUUCAGUGGUUUGUUCCGGUGUGACGUGUGGAGGAGAAUUAUCUCUGAGUCUUUUCAAUAUCAAAUCCAUCUGACUCAGUAGCUAUAGAGUCAACAUUUCCACCACUUAGUUCAUUCCUGCAAGCAAGGGCAAGUAGGAGCUAACCUAGUGCACAGUAGUGCUAAGAUAUAUUAUGCUGUCUUGGAGACUUACUAAAUAUAGAAAUUAUCAAUAAAUCGUAUGUAACACCCUACCCUUUCGACAACAGUAAGGUUAGCAACUUAGCAUUGGCCCAUCUGCAAUUAUUGUGCAUUAGUUAAUGUUCAAACUGAUAAUUGUCCUGGUCUAUUUUUAUAUUAUUUAUUUAUCAAUUGAUUUUUCCUAGCCAUUUUUUCUGUUUUUUUUUGCAGGACUCAGUAAACACAGGCAGCCUGUUGAACUGUUCCAAUCCAAUUAGUUAGGGCCUCUUGAGUUUAUUACCAUUGACUUGGCUGUCACUGUGCAUUUUUCCAAUGGGUAGUCCGUGGCAACAUGCUGGAAAAUGACUUUGUGUAUCUCCCCUGCCUGUUUUUUUCUUUUUGAUGUUAUAAUGGAACACCACCAAUAAGAUUUUUAUAGCAUGUUAUGCAAACGUCACAAAUUAAAAUAAUCCUACCACAACAAGGCUUGUUUUGUUUGGUGUCCUCAGUUGUCAUUAUCAAUCAAGCAAAAAAAAACCAUGGUCCGAGGAAUUUGGACCACCGUAUGUGGUUUAAAAUUCUGACACCCCAAUUGUUUCUCAACUACAUAUUUAUAGACGUUUGUUAAGUUGAAAUCCACCAAAUAUUUCACUUUAUUAUGGAAAACAUAAUACUUCUUUUGUUCUAAAUUAUAUAG
rnacentral:lncRNA from 1 species